CCUACGGGGGGCUGCAGUAAGGAAUAUUGGUCAAUGGACGGAAGUCUGAACCAGCCAUCCCGCGUGCAGGAAGAAGGUCCUAUGGAUUGUAAACUGCUUUUAGCAGAGACGAAACGCCUUCAUUUAUGGGGGUUUGACGGUAUCUGCGGAAUAAGCACCGGCUAACUCCGUGCCAGCAGCCGCGGUAAUACGGAGGGUGCAGGCGUUAUCCGGAAUCACGGGGUUGAAGGCGUGGGUUUAAGGGGGAUGUGAAAGCCUGUAGCUUAACUACAGAAGUGCCAUUGAUACUGAUUGUCUUGAAUUGGGUUGAGGUGAGCGGAAUGGGACAUGUAACGGUGAAAUGUUUAGAUAUGUCAUGGAACACCGAUGGCGAAGGCAGCUAGCUGGGCCUUGAUUGACGCUGAGGCACGAAAGCGUGGGUAGCGAACAGGAUUAGAUACCCUGGUAGUC
rnacentral:rRNA from 1 species